rnacentral:rRNA from 1 species
CAGCAGCCGCGGGAAAACGUAGGUGGCAAGCGUUGUCCGGAAUUAUUGGGCGUAAAGGGCUCGCAGGCGGUUUCUUAAGUCUGAUGUGAAAGCCCCCGGCUCAACCGGGGAGGGUCAUUGGAAACUGGGAAACUUGAGUGCAGAAGAGGAGAGUGGAAUUCCACGUGUAGCGGUGAAAUGCGUAGAGAUGUGGAGGAACACCAGUGGCGAAGGCGACUCUCUGGUCUGUAACUGACGCUGAGGAGCGAAAGCGUGGGGAGCGAACAGGAUUAGAUACCCCGGUAGUCCCUGUCUCUUAUAC